rnacentral:rRNA from 1 species
CGGGUGGUAAUGCCGGAUGCUCCGACUCCUCGCAUGGGGUGUCGGGAAAGAUUUCAUCGGUAUGGGAUGGGGUCGCGUCCUAUCAGGUAGUCGGCGGGGUAACGGCCCACCGAGCCUACGACGGGUAGCCGGCCUGAGAGGGCGACCGGCCACAUUGGGACUGAGAUACGGCCCAGACUCCUACGGGAGGCAGCAGUGGGGAAUAUUGCACAAUGGGCGCAAGCCUGAUGCAGCGACGCCGCGUGCGGGAUGACGGCCUUCGGGUUGUAAACCGCUUUUGAUCGGGAGCAAGCCUUCGGGUGAGUGUACCUUUCGAAUAAGCACCGGCUAACUACGUGCCAGCAGCCGCGGUAAUACGUAGGGUGCAAGCGUUAUCCGGAAUUAUUGGGCGUAAAGGGCUCGUAGGCGGUUCGUCGCGUCCGGUGUGAAAGUCCAUCGCUUAACGGUGGAUCUGCGCCGGGUACGGGCGGGCUGGAGUGCGGUAGGGGAGACUGGAAUUCCCGGUGUAACGGUGGAAUGUGUAGAUAUCGGGAAAGAACACCA